UACGGAGGGGGCUAGCGUUGUUCGGAAUUACUGGGCGUAAAGCGCACGUAGGCGGCUUUGUAAGUUAGAGGUGAAAGCCCGGAGCUCAACUCCGGAAUUGCCUUUAAGACUGCAUCGCUCGAAUCAUGGAGAGGUGAGUGGAAUUCCGAGUGUAGAGGUGAAAUUCGUAGAUAUUCGGAAGAACACCAGUGGCGAAGGCGGCUCACUGGUCCGGUACUGACGCUGAGGUGCGAAAGCGUGGGGAGCAAACAGG
rnacentral:rRNA from 1 species